rnacentral:rRNA from 1 species
AGCCCGUUAAUGGGUGAUGGCGUGCCUUUUGUAGAAUGAACCGGCGAGUUACGAUUUGAUGCAAGGUUAAGCAGUAAAUGUGGAGCCGUAGCGAAAGCGAGUCUGAAUAGGGCGUUUAGUAUUUGGUCGUAGACCCGAAACCAGGUGAUCUACCCUUGGUCAGGUUGAAGUUCAGGUAACACUGAAUGGAGGACCGAACCGACUUACGUUGAAAAGUGAGCGGAUGAACUGAGGGUAGCGGAGAAAUUCCAAUCGAACCUGGAGAUAGCUGGUUCUCUCCGAAAUAGCUUUAGGGCUAGCCUCAAGUGAUGAUUAUUGGAGGUAGAGCACUGUUUGGACGAGGGGCCCCUCUCGGGUUACCGAAUUCAGACAAACUCCGAAUGCCAAUUAAUUUAACUUGGGAGUCAGAACAUGGGUGAUAAGGUCCGUGUUCGAAAGGGAAACAGCCCAGACCACCAGCUAAGGUCCCAAAAUAUAUGUUAAGUGGAAAAGGAUGUGGCGUUGCCCAGACAACUAGGAUGUUGGCUUAGAAGCAGCCAUCAUUUAAAGAGUGCGUAAUAGCUCACUAGUCGAGUGACACUGCGCCGAAAAUGUACCGGGGCUAAACAUAUUACCGAAGCUGUGGAUUGUCCUUUGGACAAUGGUAGGAGAGCGUUCUAAGGGCGUUGAAGCAUGAUCGUAAGGACAUGUGGAGCGCUUAGAAGUGAGAAUGCCGGUGUGAGUAGCGAAAGACGGGUGAGAAUCCCGUCCACCGAUUGACUAAGGUUUCCAGAGGAAGGCUCGUCCGCUCUGGGUUAGUCGGGUCCUAAGCUGAGGCCGACAGGCGUAGGCGAUGGAUAACAGGUUGAUAUUCCUGUACCACCUAUAAUCGUUUUAAUCGAUGGGGGGACGCAGUAGGAUAGGCGAAGCGUGCGAUUGGAUUGCACGUCUAAGCAGUAAGGCUGAGUAUUAGGCAAAUCCGGUACUCGUUAAGGCUGAGCUGUGAUGGGGAGAAGACAUUGAGUCUUCGAGUCGUUGAUUUCACACUGCCGAGAAAAGCCUCUAGAUAGAAAAUAGGUGCCCGUACCGCAAACCGACACAGGUAGUCAAGAUGAGAAUUCUAAGGUGAGCGAGCGAACUCUCGUUAAGGAACUCGGCAAAAUGACCCCGUAACUUCGGGAGAAGGGGUGCUCUUUAGGGUUAACGCCCAGAAGAGCCGCAGUGAAUAGGCCCAAGCGACUGUUUAUCAAAAACACAGGUCUCUGCUAAACCGUAAGGUGAUGUAUAGGGGCUGACGCCUGCCCGGUGCUGGAAGGUUAAGAGGAGUGGUUAGCUUCUGCGAAGCUACGAAUCGAAGCCCCAGUAAACGGCGGCCGUAACUAUAACGGUCCUAAGGUAGCGAAAUUCCUUGUCGGGUAAGUUCCGACCCGCACGAAAGGCGUAACGAUUUGGGCACUGUCUCAACGAGAGACUCGGUGAAAUCAUAGUACCUGUGAAGAUGCAGGUUACCCGCGACAGGACGGAAAGACCCCGUGGAGCUUUACUGUAGCCUGAUAUUGAAAUUCGGCACAGCUUGUACAGGAUAGGUAGGAGCCUUUGAAACGUGAGCGCUAGCUUACGUGGAGGCGCUGGUGGGAUACUACCCUAGCUGUGUUGGCUUUCUAACCCGCACCACUUAUCGUGGUGGGAGACAGUGUCA